rnacentral:tRNA from 1 species
GCCCCCGUAGCCCAAUCGGCAGAGGCAUCAGCCUUAAAAGCUGAACAGUGUCGGUUCGAGUCCGACCGGGGGCACCG